rnacentral:tRNA from 1 species
GCCCGAGUGGCGGAAUGGUAGACGCAGGGGAUUCAAAAUCCCCCGCCGCAAGGCGUGUCGGUUCGAGUCCGACCUCGGGCA